CCUCGGCGCGGCCCGGCAGCUCCCGCGGUGGGGUGCGUGAAGCGCGGCCACCGCUGCACCCGCGGAGUAGCUAAUGGUCGUUCCAGGUGCGGGUCCUCAAGGAGGGGAUCCGUGCCUCCCGCAGGAGGGUUAGUGCCCACCAGGAAAGCAAGGUGGCAGCCGGGGGCUGGCACUGAGCUCCAUCGGCACAGGGGCAAAUUUAGAUCGUCGUGCACUUUGCACGCCUGUGAAGUGCAGGAUCGGGGCUCUGCGGCCGUGCUGCCAUUGAAGAUAAUGGACAAAAAAGGCCGACCUUCUGGUGUGUGUACCGUGGUGACUCGUCAAGCGCUGGAAGCAUGCCGCAGCUCUCAAUCUUCGCCUCAGCCAGUGCAGUGCAAAGGAGACACAAGCCUCUGCAGAAAAAAAGGGUAUCUGCGACCCAUUGUUCGUGUGUUUGAGAGCAUCAGGAAGCUGCUUACCACAGGAAUCAGUCGCAGUUAUAAGCAUUGAGGGUGUGUUCCCUUUCAAGGCAGAGUCAAGGACAGUCAAGAACUUCUGUGUGAAUAACACCUGAUUGCUGCAGAAAACAACCGUACUUAAGACAAACAAUGUAUGUGCUGGCUGAUAAUUCAUGAUUAAAGAUCCACAACAUGCGAAGUCAGAGCCCAGAAUCAUUGAAGGAAGUUGAAUAAAAAAAGGCCUUGGAAGUCAUGACUUGUAACAUGUUUACAGCAACCCUGAAGCACAGGUUUUAGUUUGGUACAGCCAGAAGCAACCAAGAAAUGAAUAGUAAAUGAAAGUAAUUGCUUCAGACCUCACAUUGAAUAAAAAUGCCAAUGUAGAUAAGGA